UAUUUGGGUGCAAAGAGUCAUAUUUGAGCC
rnacentral:piRNA from 1 species